rnacentral:rRNA from 1 species
ACAGAGGUGGCAAGCGUUGUUCGGAAUUACUGGGCUUAAAGGGUGUGUAGGCGGUUUAGUAAGCAACUCGUGAAAGCUCCAGGCUCAACCUGGGAACUGCAAGAUGGACUGCUGAACUUGAGACGCGUAGGGGUCAACGGAGCUCUGGGAGGAGCGGUGAAAUGCGUAGAUAUCCAAUGGAGCGGCAGCGGUGAAGACCGUUGUCUAAGGGCGUCCUUGCGCUAAGGCAAGAAAGCGUGUUGAGCUAUCGU